UCAAUGCACUAACGUGCGAAGGGGUUACCUCGAGUGCUAUCUGAUGAAGGUGGCUUUUCCAUGGUCUAAAAAGCCUAGGGAAUAAGAGGGGGGCAAGACUGGUGUCAGCCGCCGCGGUAACACCAGCCCCUCGAGUGGUGGGGAUGAUUAUUUGGCCUAAAGCGUCCGUAGCCUGCCGGAUAAGUUUCCCGUUAAAUCCAACGUCUCAAGCGUUGGACUGCGGGAGAUACUGUCUGGCUAGAGAGUGGGAGAGGUCAGCGGUAUUCUGGGGGUGGGGGCGAAAUCCUUUGAUCCCCGGAGGACCACCAGUGGCGAAGGCUGCUGACUAGAACACGUCUGACGGUCAGGGACGAAAGCUGGGGUAGCGAACCGGAUUAGAUACCCGGGUAGUCCCAGCCGUAAACGAUGCAUGCUAGGUGUUGGGUUGGCCACGAGCCACCCCAGUGCCGCAGGGAAGCCGUUAAGCAUGCCGCCUGGGAAGUACGGUCGCAAGAUUGAAACUUAA
rnacentral:rRNA from 1 species